rnacentral:rRNA from 1 species
GAUGAACGCUGGCGGCGUGCCUAAUACAUGCAAGUCGAGCGAAUGGAUUAAGAGCUUGCUCUUAUGAAGUUAGCGGCGGACGGGUGAGUAACACGUGGGUAACCUGCCCAUAAGACUGGGAUAACUCCGGGAAACCGGGGCUAAUACCGGAUAACAUUUUGAACCGCAUGGUUCGAAAUUGAAAGGCGGCUUCGGCUGUCACUUAUGGAUGGACCCGGGUCGCAUUAGCUAGUUGGUGAGGUAACGGCUCACCAAGGCAACGAUGCGUAGCCGACCUGAGAGGGUGAUCGGCCACACUGGGGCUGAGAAACGGCCCAGACUCCUACGGGAGGCAGCAGUAGGGAAUCUUCCGCAAUGGACGAAAGUCUGACGGAGCAACGCCGCGUGAGUGAUGAAGGCUUUCGGGUCGUAAAACUCUGUUGUUAGGGAAGAACAUGUGCUAGUUGAAUAAGCUGGCACCUUGACGGUACCUAACCAGAAAGCCACGGCUAACUACGUGCCAGCCGCCGCCGUAA